CCUCCGGAUUGGCUUUGGGGAGUCGGCGACGACACCCCGUUGCUGAGAAGUUGGUCAAACUUGGUCAUUUAGAGGAAGUAAAAGUCGUAACAAGGUUUCCGUAGGUGAACCUGCGGAAGGAUCAUUAUAGUACAACGGAGGUGCCUGGGCUGUUGCUGACCUCAAGGUCGUGCACGCCCGGAGUGCUCUCUCACAUCCAUCUCACCCCUUUGUGCAUCAUCGCGUGGGGCCCUCUCCUUUGGCUUGUUCCGGAAGGGGGGGGGGUNNNGUUUUUUACACGAACAACCCAUUAAUGCAUGUGUAGAAUGUCUUACUUUUUGCGGUCACACGCAAUCAAUACAACUUUCAACAACGGAUCUCUUGGCUCUCGCAUCGAUGAAGAACGCAGCGAAAUGCGAUACGUAAUGUGAAUUGCAGAAUUCAGUGAAUCAUCGAAUCUUUGAACGCACCUUGCGCCCCUUGGUAUUCCGAGGGGUGCACCCGUUUGAGUGUCGUGAACACCCUCAACCUUCUUGGUUUAUCGACCGGGAAGGCUUGGACUUUGGAGGUUUUUGUUGCUGGCCUCGUUUGAAGCCAGCUCCUCCUAAACGAAUUAGUGGGGUCCGCCGUGCCGACCCUUGACGUGAUAAGUACGCUUCUACGUCUUGGGGUUUCGCACUGUCGCCUGCUUCCAACCGUCUUCGAAUGAAGACAAUCUUAUAGACCUUGACCUCAAAUCGGGUGAGACUACCCGCUGAACUUAAGCAUAUCAAUAAGCGGAGGAAAAGAAACUAACAAGGAUUCCCCUAGUAACUGCGAGUGAAGCGGGAAAAGCUCAAAUUUAAAAUCUGGNGGUCUUUGGCCAUCCNAGUUGUAAUUUANAGAA
rnacentral:rRNA from 1 species